GUGUGAUCUCUGAAAUUCAGCUGAGGCAAUACCAUGAAACUUCAAAGAAAUAAAGCCAGUUAUUAGAGAGAGGGGGAUGUUUCAGAGGGCUUAGAUACACCGUCCUUCCAAUUCCAAAGAUCAGAGCCCGGCGCAAGGAUGUUUUAGCUGACUAACUAAUUCGCUUAAGAAUCAGCUUGAAGCUCAAGACAGUAGCAGUUGUGAACAGAUCAGAGCUUGGCGCAAGGAUGUUUUGGCUAACUAACUAAUCCGCUUAAGAAUCAGCUCGAAGCUUGCAGCUGGAGAUAGCAGCAGCGUGCUGUGGAAGGACGCUUGAAGCUCAAGAUAGCAGCAGCGUGGAAGAAACGAGCUGAAUUAGUAACCCAGCGGGACGGGACAGACACCGACAGGCGACAGGACCGACGAGACGGGAGCGGCAUGCAUCCAUCCACCCACCCACACCCGCGCGCGAGGGAGCAGAACCGAAUCGAAGGACGGAGGAGGGGAGCCGCACCUGUGGCAGCCGGCGC